UACGAAGGUGGCGAGCGUUGCUCGGAUUUACUGGGCGUAAAGCGAGCGCAGGUGGUUGAACAAGUCAGAGGUGAAAUCCCGCCGCUUAACGGCGGAACUGCCUUUGAAACUGUUUGACUUGAGUGGUUGAGGGGAAAGAGGAAUGCCCAGUGUAGAGGUGAAAUUCGUAGAUAUUGGGCGGAACACCGACGGCGAAAGCAUCUUUCUGGCAACAUACUGACACUCAGGCUCGACAGCGUGGGGAGCAAACAGG
rnacentral:rRNA from 1 species